UUAAGUUAUUAAGGGCGCACGGUGGAUGCCUUGGCACUAGAAGCCGAUGAAGGACGUUACUAACGACGAUAUGCUUUGGGGAGCUGUAAGUAAGCUUUGAUCCAGAGAUUUCCGAAUGGGGAAACCCAGCAUGAGUUAUGUCAUGUUAUCGAUAUGUGAAUACAUAGCAUAUCAGAAGGCACACCCGGAGAACUGAAACAUCUUAGUACCCGGAGGAAGAGAAAGAAAAUUCGAUUCCCUUAGUAGCGGCGAGCGAAACGGGAAGAGCCCAAACCAACAAGCUUGCUUGUUGGGGUUGUAGGACACUCUAUACGGAGUUACAAAGGACGACAUUAGACGAAUCAUCUGGAAAGAUGAAUCAAAGAAGGUAAUAAUCCUGUAGUCGAAAAUGUUGUCUCUCUUGAGUGGAUCCUGAGUACGACGGAGCACGUGAAAUUCCGUCGGAAUCUGGGAGGACCAUCUCCUAAGGCUAAAUACUCUCUAGUGACCGAUAGUGAACCAGUACCGUGAGGGAAAGGUGAAAAGCACCCCGGAAGGGGAGUGAAACAGAACCUGAAACCGUGUGCUUACAAGUAGUCAGAGCCUGUUAAUGGGUGAUGGCGUGCCUUUUGUAGAAUGAACCGGCGAGUUACGAUUUGAUGCAAGGUUAAGCAGUAAAUGUGGAGUCGUAGCGAAAGCGAGUCUGAAUAGGGCGUUUAGUAUUUGGUCGUAGACCCGAAACCAGGUGAUCUACCCUUGGUCAGGUUGAAGUUCAGGUAACACUGAAUGGAGGACCGAACCGACUUACGUUGAAAAGUGAGCGGAUGAACUGAGGGUAGCGGAGAAAUUCCAAUCGAACCUGGAGAUAGCUGGUUCUCUCCGAAAUAGCUUUAGGGCUAGCCUCAAGUGAUGAUUAUUGGAGGUAGAGCACUGUUUGGACGAGGGGCCCCUCUCGGGUUACCGAAUUCAGACAAACUCCGAAUGCCAAUUAAUUUAACUUGGGAGUCAGAACAUGGGUGAUAAGGUCCGUGUUCGAAAGGGAAACAGCCCAGACCACCAGCUAAGGUCCCAAAAUAUAUGUUAAGUGGAAAAGGAUGUGGCGUUGCCCAGACAACUAGGAUGUUGGCUUAGAAGCAGCCAUCAUUUAAAGAGUGCGUAAUAGCUCACUAGUCGAGUGACACUGCGCCGAAAAUGUACCGGGGCUAAACAUAUUACCGAAGCUGUGGAUUGUCCUUUGGACAAUGGUAGGAGAGCGUUCUAAGGGCGUUGAAGCAUGAUCGUAAGGACAUGUGGAGCGCUUAGAAGUGAGAAUGCCGGUGUGAGUAGCGAAAGACGGGUGAGAAUCCCGUCCACCGAUUGACUAAGGUUUCCAGAGGAAGGCUCGUCCGCUCUGGGUUAGUCGGGUCCUAAGCUGAGGCCGACAGGCGUAGGCGAUGGAUAACAGGUUGAUAUUCCUGUACCACCUAUAAUCGUUUUAAUCGAUGGGGGGACGCAGUAGGAUAGGCGAAGCGUGCGAUUGGAUUGCACGUCUAAGCAGUAAGGCUGAGUAUUAGGCAAAUCCGGUACUCGUUAAGGCUGAGCUGUGAUGGGGAGAAGACAUUGUGUCUUCGAGUCGUUGAUUUCACACUGCCGAGAAAAGCCUCUAGAUAGAAAAUAGGUGCCCGUACCGCAAACCGACACAGGUAGUCAAGAUGAGAAUUCUAAGGUGAGCGAGCGAACUCUCGUUAAGGAACUCGGCAAAAUGACCCCGUAACUUCGGGAGAAGGGGUGCUCUUUAGGGUUAACGCCCAGAAGAGCCGCAGUGAAUAGGCCCAAGCGACUGUUUAUCAAAAACACAGGUCUCUGCUAAACCGUAAGGUGAUGUAUAGGGGCUGACGCCUGCCCGGUGCUGGAAGGUUAAGAGGAGUGGUUAGCUUCUGCGAAGCUACGAAUCGAAGCCCCAGUAAACGGCGGCCGUAACUAUAACGGUCCUAAGGUAGCGAAAUUCCUUGUCGGGUAAGUUCCGACCCGCACGAAAGGCGUAACGAUUUGGGCACUGUCUCAACGAGAGACUCGGUGAAAUCAUAGUACCUGUGAAGAUGCAGGUUACCCGCGACAGGACGGAAAGACCCCGUGGAGCUUUACUGUAGCCUGAUAUUGAAAUUCGGCACAGCUUGUACAGGAUAGGUAGGAGCCUUUGAAACGUGAGCGCUAGCUUACGUGGAGGCGCUGGUGGGAUACUACCCUAGCUGUGUUGGCUUUCUAACCCGCACCACUUAUCGUGGUGGGAGACAGUGUCAGGCGGGCAGUUUGACUGGGGCGGUCGCCUCCUAAAAGGUAACGGAGGCGCUCAAAGGUUCCCUCAGAAUGGUUGGAAAUCAUUCAUAGAGUGUAAAGGCAUAAGGGAGCUUGACUGCGAGACCUACAAGUCGAGCAGGGUCGAAAGACGGACUUAGUGAUCCGGUGGUUCCGCAUGGAAGGGCCAUCGCUCAACGGAUAAAAGCUACCCCGGGGAUAACAGGCUUAUCUCCCCCAAGAGUUCACAUCGACGGGGAGGUUUGGCACCUCGAUGUCGGCUCAUCGCAUCCUGGGGCUGUAGUCGGUCCCAAGGGUUGGGCUGUUCGCCCAUUAAAGCGGUACGCGAGCUGGGUUCAGAACGUCGUGAGACAGUUCGGUCCCUAUCCGUCGUGGGCGUAGGAAAUUUGAGAGGAGCUGUCCUUAGUACGAGAGGACCGGGAUGGACAUACCUCUGGUGUACCAGUUGUCGUGCCAACGGCAUAGCUGGGUAGCUAUGUGUGGACGGGAUAAGUGCUGAAAGCAUCUAAGCAUGAAGCCCCCCUCAAGAUGAGAUUUCCCAACUUCGGUUAUAAGAUCCCUCAAAGAUGAUGAGGUUAAUAGGUUCGAGGUGGAAGCAUGGUGACAUGUGGAGCUGACGAAUACUAAUCGAUCGAAGACUUAAUCAA
rnacentral:rRNA from 2 species